rnacentral:rRNA from 1 species
GACGUAGGGCGCGAGCGUUGUCCGGAUUUACUGGGCGUAAAGAGCGCGCAGGCGGUCGUUCAAGUCGCGUGUGAAAGCCCCCGGCUCAACUGGGGAGGGUCACGCGAUACUGAUCGACUCGAAGGCAGGAGAGGGUAGUGGAAUUCCCGGUGUAGUGGUGAAAUGCGUAGAUAUCGGGAGGAACACCAGUGGCGAAGGCGGCUCACUGGACCGGAACUGACGCUGAGGCGCGAAAGCGUGGGGAGCAAACGGG